AUUGAAAAGAAUUAUUAUUCUUUCAAAAGAUACAGAAAUGUGAAAACGUACAUAAAAAAAUUUUGAACAAAUAGAAUUUUAUUCUUCAGUUGUACUCUUCUGAGUAUGUACAUUUCAAUUCUGAAACUACAUAAUUAUGGUGAUUUAAUUAUUAAAGAAUCAAGAAGAGAAAAAUAACAAUGACCAUGCUUAAUAAAAUCACAAAAUGCUGCCAUCUGGGAUCACUGCAUUCUGUAGGACAACCACUAUUCCUUCACUGAUUAUGUACCCAUUAGCUUCCCUGCUGCCUUCUUGCACUUUGUCCUUAUUAAUGAUCAUUACGUUUCUGCCAAUUCUUGCAUUCUUGUCUAUUAGAGCUUGCCUUAUCUGAGUAUCAUCACCAAUUCCUAUUGGAAUAUCCAUGCCCUUCACAUCAAUUCCACUCUUCUGAAUAUGCUUUAUUUGGUAAUCAGAGCCCAUGAUCACUGAAUCUUCAAUUAUGGCUCUAUCUCCAAUUCUUGUCCCCAUGCCUACUACUGUUCCUUUGAUCUUGCACCUAUUGAGAAUGCAACCAUCUCCAAUAACACUAUCUGUUAUGUCUGCAUCAGUUAUGGUAGUUGGAGGAAGAUAGCGCGGCAUGGUGUACAGAGGAGAGUCUAUAUCACAGAAGCUGCUAUGAAAGGAGCAAGUCUUUUUGUUAGUUGAUGAGAGGAAAUUAUAGAUGCGAAAUUUUGGUAAUGCUCAUUGUAAUGGUAUAAAACUUUCACCCUUACUGGUAUUAAGAUUACUGACUUAUAUCCCAUGUUUGAUCUCUUUAUGAUUUGCAUGCUUGCUUCAUAAAAUGCUGAAAUGCUCCUCAAGUCCUCCCAGUAUCCUUCGAACCGAUAAGCGUGAACCUUCAUUCCAGUGGAUAUCGCACCAGGUAUCACUUCAGUUCCAAAGUCAUUUGCCUUGGGAAAGUAAGUGUCUAGAAGCUUUGUCAUAACGUGUCUAUUAACUAGGUAGAUCCCCAUACUUGACAACUUUCUAUUUGCAGAAUCAUUAAAUUUUCUGGAGCUUUUUACUGAGGUUGCAAUUCUUGGCUCCUUCUCUGAUCUCCAGCUAAACUCUGCAACUUCAUUUUGUGAAUUCACUUUCAAUAGGCCAAAACCUGGGUCUGGUUCUCUAAUAUAAUCCAAAGCUGCAAUGGUUAUAUCUGCCUGGCUACUCCUGUGCGCUUCUAUUAGUUUCUGGUAGUCCAUUUUGUAGAGAUGGUGGCCAGGAAGGAUCAAAAACUCCAAUACCGGGAACUCUUCCAGUACCCACAAGCAUCUUCUCAUAGCAUCAGCAGUUCCCUGAAACCAGCCUUGGUCUUCAGGACUCUGAUAAGCUGCAAUCACUUCAAGAAAGCCUUCUCUGCCAAGGCCUAGUCCAUUAUAAGCUCUUGAGAGGUGAGAAUUGAGAGAUGUAGAGUUGAAUUGUGUAAUGGCAUAUAUCUUGUUUAUGUUACUGUUAAUGCAGUUGCUCACAACUGCAUCGAUGAUCCUAUAAUUUGCUGCUAUAGGAAUUGCUCCUUCUGAUCUUCUCUUUGUCAAUGGGUAGAGCCUCGACUCUGAUCCGUCUCCAAACACAAUGGCGGCAACACUCUGAUUUACUGGAGGGGACAAUGAGAUGGGAUAUUGAGGUUGCUGGGAAUUCGAUACGAAUAGGCUUCGUGAAGGGGACGAUAAAUUUGAUAAACAUUUUGGACGAUUAUGACUCAAUUCAAGAAUGGAAAGCUUUGCCUGGACUUGGAGAUUUACAGGGUUGAAACUAGGAAGCUGCGAUAUCAUCACCAUGAGAAGGAAGAACAAGAGUCUAAUAAACUUAAACGAACAAUUAUUGUUUUUCCCUCUAAAUUUGUGAUUUAAUAGAGAGAAAUGGGAGAGAAUAUUUUGGUUUCUUCCUCCUCAUGGCUAUUUGAGACAGAUCUUCCUUUCUUAGCUGGUAUUUGUUAGCUACUAAAAGCUUG
rnacentral:misc_RNA from 1 species